UACGGGGGGAGCAAGCGUUGUUCGGAUUUACUGGGCGUAAAGGGCGCGUAGGCGGCCACCGCAAGUCGACUGUGAAAUCUCCGGGCUUAACCCGGAAAGGUCAGCCGAUACUGCGGGGCUAGAGUGCAGAAGGGGCAACUGGAAUUCUCGGUGUAGCGGUGAAAUGCGUAGAUAUCGAGAGGAACACCUGCGGCGAAGGCGGGUUGCUGGGCUGACACUGACGCUGAUGCGCGAAAGCUAGGGGAGCAAACGGG
rnacentral:rRNA from 1 species